GUUCUGUUAGGUUCGAGAUGCCUGUUAAACAUCUUUGUGGAGGUGCAAGCAAGCCAUUGGUUGUUUGAGUUCAGUGGCAAGGAGGGCCUCUAAGACCAGGGUCCUCUCCCUGUAUGGUGACAAAAGAUUUUUCCAAAUCCCAAGGCCUCCAGUGAGACUGGAGAGAGUUUCUUUUUUCCUAUUGGAAGCCUUCUCUUUGUCCAGGGUUAUAGCUGGGCAUAUGCCUCCUGAGUGGCCCUGAAUAACCGCUAAUGCUAACAGACUUGCUAAGUAGUGUGGAAGUUUUUAAACUCCUUCACGAAGUAUUUUGUGCUUCCUGCAGUGUCUUCAGAGCCAUGUCUAGCUUCAUCUGCAGAGUCAGGUCUCCUGGGGCUUCCAGGAUAAACUGGGUGGAAGCAUUGGGGGAAGCUGUAGGUGACCCUGGACAGUAUUUCCAGGACUCCAGGCUCCAAGCUGGUUGACUAAUUAAGAAAGCAGAAGAAACUUUUGCUUUGCACAGACUCAUUUCCAGCACAAAGAGCUUGGGGGAAAAAAAAAAGCCAGAAAUUCCUCUACUCUGGGCAGGCCAAGCCUCACCCGAGUGUGCUGACUCAGAAAUAGCAGCUGCUUGCCCUGGGAGCCAGCAGUUGUUGGCACAAUCAAAGAUCAAUUAAAACAUGCCAUUCUGGUUUGUUCUCCCUACACCAGUCCUUCCAGGGCACUUCCUCUCACUUUCAGCUUCCUCCAAAGACUUCUUUCCUGCCUAGUUAACUUGGAGCCCAGUGGCCUGUGAAGGAGGUGGCUGGAAGGAGGGAGGAGCCGUGCACCAGCAGCUAAGACCUGGGGCUUGCUUGGCUUCCUCCAGCACCAUUCCUGGGACUGUCAGUAAUUCACUGACCUCCCUGGGCCUCUGGUUCCCCAACUACAAAGCAGAUAGUGAUUGUCCACCUUCCUGUCCUGUGCUUCCAGGGUCACCCUGAAGGUGAAGAGAGAAUGCAUAUGGCCAUGCUCCGUAAACUGUAGGCCCCUCUCCAAGUUUAGUGGUUUCUGUGACGUAUAGCAUAUAGAAUACGACAAAGUGUGUAUUUUUAACCCAUCUUAAAAUUAACCCUAAGAGAAAAAAGAAUGGAAUCAUUCUUUUCUAGUUGCAAAAUAGUUUAGGGGGGAAGAAAUCAAUAAUCCAGAAACUCCUGGAGUUUCUCGAAGUUGACAUCUCCCUGGCCCCAGGGGCCCAGAAGAGGGGGUGUAACUGGGUGCCAGAGAAUGGCUACAACACAGGGUUCCAGGAGCCUCCCAGGGAGGGUUGCCAGAUCAAGUAAAUAAAACUACAGUAUGUCCAGUUAAGUUGGAAUUUCAGAUAAACAACACAUAAUUUUUAGUAUAAGUAUGUUCCAAAUAUUGCAUGGGAUAUACUUAUACUAAAAAAUUAUUCAUUGUUAUCCGGCAGCUCUACAGGAUGCCUGGGUCACAUCAAGCAGAGGAUUCAGUAGGUCUAGAAAGCCACGCGGGUGGUCAAUAUGCCUCACUCGUGUCCCCAGGAGAGUGCCCUGCUUUCAGCGUAGGGUCUCCUUACCCUUCAAGCAAUUCGGAUUAAGGAAAUGGUCUGCCUUUACUAAUUCAGUAUGUGUGUUUGAGGGCUUCCUAUGUACGAAAGGGCAUUGUCUAAAUGUGCAAGACCAUAAAUCUAGUCACUGUAGACUUAAAGCUCAGAGAGCGUUAGAGGAAGGAGAGGAGACCAGACUCAAAGGAGACAACAAGGUGAAAGGUGAGGAGGCUGUUUGCUGGGAGGAGGACUGAGGAGAAGCCAGGGGCAGGGGCUUCCCAUCCCCCAGCACAGCCUCUUUCCCUGCUGACUGGGCGCUUGGACCCCCUAACUGUCAUGCCCUUAUGCAACUCCUCCCUGCAAAGUCCACACAUUGCUGUCACUAGUGGGCUUUGGACACAGGCUUUUCAGUGAGGUGAAGGGAAGCAGUGAGGGAAUUACCCUGGGCAACGCCUCUUCUGAGGGAAGCAAAUUUGAGAUUUUCUGCAUAACUUGUCAUUAGCAACACCAGACGUGCACAAAAAGGAGAAAGCAAAGAACACUGGCCACUGACCGUGCUGUACUCCCGCCUCAGGAGACACUUGUCUGGCCCCAGUGUCUCCUUCCUUCCCUUCCUUCCUGCCUUUCCUCAUUAUUUCCUGACUAACUACUCACAGAGGAGAAUCAGCCAGAGUCCCACUAAUAGGAUGCCUACAAUCAGAGGCAAGAAAGUUAAGAAGGGGAAAGAACUGAGGCCUGAGAUCAUGCCCAACUGAGGAAUCCAGGAAGGCUUCCUGGAGGAGCUAGCAUUUUGUUGUGAGGGCUGAAGCACACAUAGGAUUUGGACAUGUAGUGAUGGGUGGGUGGGGGAGACAGGUCACACACAAGCAGAGGAGAGCGCAAGGCAAGGAACAGAGCUGGAGAAGCCCAGAACACAAGAAGAAAGUGGUGAUCAGGGAGAUUUCAGACCAUUCUGAGGUUGGUCUCAGGGUUCAAACCAGGGACUCAAGGGAAAGCAAAGUUUGCACUGUCCUAGGAUGCUCAGAGAAACGUUCUGACCCACUUGUUUACCUGUUUUUCUCUUUCCCCUCACUUGAGCACAUCUUUCUCUGUUGGAGACUCAUUUAUAAUUCAGGCAACCUCCUUCAGAGGGAGCAGGUGUUUCUCUGGGAUGAAGCACCUUGGGAAGCAGAAUGUACAAGUGGAAAAAAGGCGUGUCACAGCAGAGCUGGGCAGAGAGAAAAUUGGGUCGCAGCAAGGGCAGAGGAGGAGGAGGCUUGUUGGUAUGCGGUGACGAGGCAGCAAAAGAGGAAAUCAUUCCCUUCCUAUACCCGCUUCUGAAAAUCUGGAUUGACUUUACCCUCCUUCAGCCCCACUAUCCAUGAUCUCAUCACUAGACUGCCUUUCUUUGAAUCUCAACACCCCCUUCCUCCUCCAAGAUGUCCCUUUAAAAAUGCUCACAUCCUUAUGAAGGACUGUCUACCCUGAGUUCCUCAGACAGCAGAGCCUGAGGUAAAUAAGCUUAAGUAUCUGUUUUAUUAGGGUGUGCAACCCCAGGAGCAGAAGUAAGGGCAAAGGGGAGUGAGGCGGAGGGAGAUCCAAUAGAAGGGCAUAUUUUCAAGCUGGCCACAACUUGUAUAAAAACCACAAGUGCUGCUUUCACGAGACCAUCUUCUGAGAGGCCGUAUGACAACCAUAUACAACAUUCCUUCUCAGUCAGGAGAGGAAGGAAGAAGAAUGCAUCUGCAAGCUCCCAUCUCCUAUGGAGGCAUUUGGCCCAUGGGCAUAAGUUCCUCUGCUCUUUCACAUUGCACAUGCGUGAGCACCAGGCAGGCCACGAGGCACUUUAUGUGUCAGCGUCAACAGAAGCUGCUCUUCUGAUGCCGGCACAGCUGAGCUUGACACUGACAGACAAGGCCCGCCUCCUUUCCCACAACCCAUUGCUGUGGGGCUCCUUUAACUGAAAGGUUACACGAGAUACCGAGUGCUGCCUUCCCCCUCAUCCGCAAUUCAAAUAUUUAAGUCCUAACCCCCAGUACCUAAGAAUGUGACUGGAUUUGGAGAUAAAACCUUUAAAGAGACAGGUACAGAGAAAAGACCAUGUGAAGAUAUAGGGAGAAGAUAGCCAUCUACAAGCCAACGAGAGAGGCUUCGGGAGAAACCAACACUGCUGACACAUUGAUCUUGGACUUCUAGCCUCCAGAACUGUGAGGAAAUAAAUUUCCAUUGUUUAAGCCAUCCAGACUAUGGUACUUGUUAUGGCAUCCCUAACAAAGUGUACUUCCCAUUUAUGCACUGUCAAGU